AAAUGCAUCUGGUUCAUGUGAAUUGCACACGAGGGAGGAAAACAUCAAAGGACGUGGUUAUGUGGGAGGAAGCUUUGAUAGUUACGAUCUUUGUUUCAUAAACUACUCCCAAUUUUAAUUAGUUCACUCAUUUUAUUGUCUCACUUAAUUAAGGUUUAAAUUGAUGCAAAUAAAUUUUGUUAACAAAAAUAUAUGAGUAGAUUUAAGGUCUUGCGGAUGAACAAGAAUCAAUUAUUAUAACAUAACCGAACAAAAUAAAAAUUCUAAAUAAAGCAACUUUUCUACUUUACUAUUAGAUUGAACCAUUGCUUGUGUCAAGUUUAUGAUGGUUUAAGCUGGCCAAAUCACAGCAAAAGGAUUAAUGAUAGAUAAAGCUCAAGAACCAUUGGAGACAAGAUGAUAGAAUGUAUGAAAGAAAUAAAAAUUAAAACGAUCAAAGUAUUACAUAUAUGAAUGGUUAUCGAUUUAUGAUAGCCAAGUCUCACGAAGAAUAUUUUUUUAAUGUAAUUAAGAUUGAUGCAUAUACAGAUAAUAAUGUAAAAGAAAUAAAAGAGGGGUUUCAAUUAAUGACAAACAAAUCCUAUGAAUAUUUUUUAUAUAUAUAAUACAAUUCACGUUUAUUGCGCCUC
rnacentral:lncRNA from 1 species